rnacentral:lncRNA from 1 species
GAUUGAUGAGAUAUAAUAAGCCAGCAAGGUGAAUUGUUGCGGAAGGGAGACGUGAAGAGUGGAAAAGAGAAAGAAAGAAAGAAACAGUGAUGUUGGGAAGGGAUGAGAGUGGGUAUAUUAGAUUUUUUUUAUUAUUGUUAUUUUUUUUCAUUAAGUACCCGUUCACAUCAAAAUUGAGUAUAUUUUAUAUGUUUAGUUUGUUGGGUAUUAUUUUUGUCUUUGUGAGUGGGUAAACACUUAUAUUUGUCUUCUUACAUUUAAUAAACUUUUAUGACGUUUAUUUUUGUAUUUAUUUUCUCUAACAU